UUCCUCAAAGGAUCUGAAAGCGUCUGAUCUUUUCCAUUCAUAUAUGCGGGCUGACGUGGGUCACGUGACGUGCCUUUCUCUUUUUUUCCUGUGGAAAAUCUCGUAAAAAGGUACGUUGCGAUUUACUAAUUUGUUUUAUUUACAUUUCUAGGGACCCGUGUAUAGGUUUUCUCGUUCCGUGUUGCUGUUGCGGCGAUCAGGCUUUGAUUGACAUGUGACAAACAAACCGGAAAAAUGUUGAGUUCAGGGACGGACCAAAGAGUUCUUUAAAUUGAUUUUUCUGCAUUUUAAUUUAUUUACACUACGAGUCUAAUGGUGUGUGAUAAAAAAAACUAUAAAUAUUAUGAUAAAUGAGAUGAAAAAAUUAUUUUGAUGGAGUUUAUAAAAUAUUAGGAUCUAUUAUAUUCUUUUUUCUUUAACUGUCAAUUUUUUGACGUAUCUCAUAUAUUAUAGUAUUACAAUGAAGUGCUCUAAUUUAUCUGUUAAAAAAGGUUUCAUCACUGUUUCCUGUAGUAAUUCUCAAUAAUGUUUUAAAUAGGAUAUAUUAAAUAGGAUAUAUUAUCUAAAGUAAACAGGCUUUUAAGCCUUCAAUUUGCCCCAAUUGACAUGAAGUGCGCAUUUCGAAAAGCCAGUGAACGCAGCGUCAUACGGGCACCCCCACCCCACUCCCCCGGAAACCCCCGGAUGAACCCGCAGGAAGGCGCGCGGCUGAAGAACUUCUUGGACAGCUGGAAGGCCGCAGGAUCACGGUGAAGGCCUCUUCUGUAUAGAGGACGGGGGCGGAAACGUCACGUGGUCUCCGCAGAGACUGGUCAGUUAUUUGGAGACAACAUGUACAAAUAGUUCCUGGACUGAUCUUCUGCUAACUUUGAGAUGGAGAGGCUGUCAGGUUCAUCUGUUUCAGGGUCCUGCAUGCUCUCCCUCCAUGUUGGCUGUAGCAGUGGAUGGAACUUGCUAAAUGUACUGUUUUGAGAGCCAACUGGGGCUCAGUGGUUAUUUGGAAGAUGCGUUUUUGACCAAAAACACUGUGGUGACCUCCUUUGUGAACUGCAUUCAUGGGGAAAUAGAAAAUAAUCCUGGAGAUGGGAGAUGUGGAGCAGGUAAGUUUGUGGCAGCACCAGAGUCCUCCAAAAAGUCUUCUGGCAAAGUAAAUGAGGAAGGAUCGCAGUCUGCCAUCGUGGAGUUUUGCUGAAAGGCCUGAACACGUUCCAUCCAUGCAUCCAUCUUCUUCCAUUCAUCAGGAACCAGGUUGUGAGGGCAGCAGUCUAAGCAAAGAUGCCCACACUUCCCUCUCCUCCAGCUCCUCUUGGGGGACCCCGGGGCCAGCUGAGAGACGUAGUCUCCCCAGCGUGUCCUGGGUCUCCCUUAGGGCCUCUGCCCUCAUUCCUGUUGGAGUUUUUUUCUAACCCCUUAUGUUUCAAAAGUUUGCAAACAUACAUUUUGGUUGAAAUGAUGAGGAUCCGAGGAUGAAAUCAAGAAGGGACAACAUCAGGGAAAGGGACUGAACCAACUGAACAGCUUCCUCUCUUCAGCAGACACAUGUUCCGAGUACAUAUGUGUCAAAAACUGACAUCCUCGCCGUUCAGGCCGGUGGCUGGAACAAGCGGAAGUCAGAAAAGCUGGAGCAGACGUGACCAGAAUGAUACCUCCAGGACCAAUCAAAAUGACCCAGAGAAAAACACUGAAGGGCUUUGUCUGAGCAUCAGGAAAACAAGAAUCAGCUGUCAUCAACCUAUGGUGGAUAAAGGUGGAAAGAUUUCAUGUAAUCCAUGGACACCAGUGAAGAUCACAAAUUAUUGAAGAAAAAAGGUUCAGAGCACUGUCUAGUGGGUCUAGAUGACCCAACUCCCAAUGGUUAUGGUGCCAUGGUAAAGAACUAAAGGCUCUAUGAUGUCAUGCUGCUGACCAGACUGUGGUUGGUGAAGUCCAGCAGCACUGCAGGUCCUUGAAGUGUGGUUGAAGAGCUCUCCUCCCAGCUUUUGGAUGGUUCUGCCCCACACAGCCAGGAGGUUUCUCUUUGUGAUCUGCAUGGAUGUCCAGGGCUUGUGGCAUUUAUGUGUUUUCCUCUUCAUUUCAUUCUCAGGCAGCACAGAGUCAUUGAUGGAGAGAGAACAUGAGGGACUAAUUGUCUGCUGAGGAGGAGACUUUCUGCAGUUCAAGCCCCAGCUCCACCCCUAAAAAAAGGCUUAUAUAAAGGAAAACCUCAUUUCAACUUUGUACCAAUAAAUGACUUUUAAUUGAAAUGAGAGAUUUUUUUCUGAACUGCACCAAUGAAGGGUUUUUCAACCUAAAUUUCAACAAUUACAUUGUUUUUUACCUCCGUUCAAGUUUCUACAACACUAGCUAAACAUUUCAGUGCUCACACCUGUGCUGAAGACACUUCUCAUUUUAUCUCAAACGUUUGGCCUUUGAUUUGUAUGUCCAACACCUUAGAAUGAAACACUGACCUAUUAAACUCAUAUAAUAAAUGUGCUAUGCAUCUCCAAAUCCUUUGUCAGGGUACAGACUACAUUUUAAUUGUAGCAAGACUGAAGUAAAAUGUAGCAAAAUGACAAUGAGUUAUCUUAAAUUAGGGGUAAAUGACAUGAGAAAUUAAGAAUAUUAGAAGUGUGGAGUGAUAUGUGUAUCAGUAUGUUAGCUGCAGGAAGGGUGCUGUCCUUGACACGUCCCUUUACUCAGACAGGAUGACAGGUAGGGAAGGGGGUAGCCGAUGAUCUGCUCCAGUAUCUUCAGCACUGAAGCUUCUGCUGCUCUUCUUCAGUUUGAUCUGAGAGCCAGACCAUGAUACAGUUGGACUGGCUGAGCGGUAGGUUGCCAGCAGCUUCAGACGUGCUGAUGUGCCUUGUUGAUAACGUCCUGAAUGUUAGGAAACCAAGUUAGAUCAGCUGAGAUGGGGAUGCCCAGGAAAGGGAAGCUGUGAACCCUCCUCUAUGCCUACUAUAGUCCAAGAUGACUUUCAUGGUCUUUUAUUUGCCGAUCAGCCUUACACUAUACAGUUUCCGCACUUGUCUACAAAGUUCACCUCAGUGACCUUUAAUAAGUCUUUUUUAUUGGCAAGUUAAUUACUUAUAUCCAAGACAUGGAGAUGUGGGUCCAGUAUGAGCAGGAUUUGGGAAAUGGCAGUUGCCAAGAACUCACAUGAAGUUUCAAGGUUUUUCCCUUUAUUUGGAGGAAAAAAAGUUUUUGUCCUUUGUUUGUUGUGCAGAAUUGCAAACCUAGAAAGAAAUCAAGUUGAAAGAAUUUAUAUAAAUGUAUUUGCCCUUCUUUUGACCCUUCUACAUCAAGAAUAUUUGGUGGUUGUUGCUUGGCGACUGUGAGAUCUCUCCAUAGGAUUGACAUGGGCUGGGCCUCUCAAUGACCUUGAUAUGAUUGUUCUUCAGCCAUUCCUUGGUUGCCUUGGCUGUAGGUUCUAGGUCACUAACCUGUUGGAAGACCCAUCCAUGACUGAUUUGAAGGGUCCUGGCUUAAGGAGGGUAGGAAGUUCUCACUCAGGAUUUUCCAUUAAUGGCUCCAUCAACGUGGUGACGUAGCUCUGUGCAGAAAAAUAGCCACAAAGCAUAAUGCUUCCACCUCCAUGUUUGACAGUGGUUAAGCUGUUCUUGGGGUCAUAGGUAGCAAUUCUCUUCCUCCAAACCAAUGGUUGAGUUGAUGCCAAAGAGCUCAGUUUUGAGCCAAACAUUCCAUUAUGCAGAAUAAACUGAUAAAGCAAACCCUAUUUUUCAGUGUGUGAUUUUCAUUUUUUCAUAAAUCUUAGGACAAUUUAGAUGAUAAAAGUAAUAAAUAUAUGAAAACAGUAUAAUACAGUAAAUAUGUAAAUAUUUGAUGUGAUGAACAAUGCUUAUCUGAUUUAGACCCAACAUGGAAUAUUUUAUGACAGACACACAUCAAGUUGUGUUAUUUAAUGCUCGUAAUUUAGACACAAAUGAUAGAAAUGUUAGGUUUAUAUGUCAAAGAGGCCAUGUGAAAAUUUUUGUGCAAAUACGCAUGCGUGCGCGCCGUGCACAUUAAGCCACCCCACCCCCACGUAUCCGCGCGCCGGUCGGGGGGUGUUGGGCGUCAAUAAAGGUAAUCUGGUUGUCGCGCGUUCUGCAUCUCUGCACGAGCUAAAGAAGUCUCAAAGAUGAAUGCCGCUGUUGUUAUCACUGUGACGGAAGAGCGGUGCUGAAAAAUACGGCCUCCAUCGAGAGACUGAACGUAACACGACUGCAGCUGACUCUGCCACGAGGCUCGACAACUUCUUGCAUCAACUGUGAUCGCUGUGGCCGCCAAAACAUCCAAAUGUAAGGCGGGCUACAAAGAUUUCAGGCCAAAAGAGAACGCCUCACAUGUGAUGAAGUGUCUGUAUUGUUGCCCUAAGUUCCCUGAUCAAGCAGAAACGUGCUUUGACUGGAUGAAGGCCUUGUAUCAGGUAUACUGGUUGGAAAAACCAGCAGCCCUCCAGUGCUUCAGCCGUCCAACCAUCAACCGUUUCAGACAUCCAUCCUCCCACCACUUCAGCCCCACAGCCGUCCACCAGUGUGCCAACUUCUGACAUUUUACUAUCCUGGGGGGGGUCAUGGCCUCUACGCUGGAUUCCAAAAAAGAGACAAAAAAAACCCCGCCCUCAACUCCCACUCUUAGUCAGACAUGUUUAUUUUUUUUAUUUACAAUAAUAAAUAAUAUACUAUGUACAUUUAUUCUGUUUUACUUUUUUAUACUUAGUUUCCUUAUUUCCUAUAAUAUUUAUUAGUAGUUGUUGUUUGUUGAUGUUAGUUCUUUUUAGCCCCUUUUAUGUUAAAAUGGACGUAAAUGAUCCAGAUGCUGAUAUUCUAAUAUAUAGACAGAUUUAUGAAUGAAUUGUUCUCAACAGAAGUUCAACGCUAUUGUGGUAGCAGUCUGACUGUUUUACUGUAAUCUGUCGUGCCUCACCCACUGUCCAUCCCAUAAAAAAGAACAAUUCUACAUCAUUAACCUUUUUUUAUUUUUAUUCAUAUGGCACAUUCAUAAAUACAAAGUUAUAAAUCAUACCCCCCAUUUUUCUAACUUUAUCAAUGAGUUCAAACAAAACAUGAACACAAUAAGAAACUCUGACAAUAAGAAAGCAUUUAAAACAUUCAAUCUGUGCGUCAGUUUCAAUGUUUUUGUGAAAAAUUUCAUAAUAAUCCCCUGGUUUGUUUCUUUCUUGUUGCUUUUUGGAAUUGUUGUUUUGAAUUGUUACAGUCAAUAAAGUUUGAAUAAAAAACAACUGCAAUCUGUCAUGCGACAAGGUA